rnacentral:rRNA from 1 species
GACGAACGCUGGCGGCGUGCUUAACACAUGCAAGUCGAACGGAAAGGCCCUGCUUUUGUUGGGUGCUCGAUUGGCGAACGUGUGAGUAACACGUGAGUAACCUGCCCUUUACUUUGGGAUAACUUCAGGAAACUGUGGCUAAUACCGGAUAGGUUCUCCUGCUUCAUGGUGGGGUUUGGAACGUUUCGGCGGUUGGGGAUGGACUCGCGGCUUAUCAGCUUUUUGGUGGGGUAGUGGCUUACCAAGGCUUUGACGGGUAGCCGGCCUGUGAGGGGGACCGGAGAAAAUGGGAAUGAGGAAAGGGCCAGAAUCCUAGGGGAGGGAGGAGUGGGGAAUAUUGAAAAAAGGGGGGAAGGCUGAAGAAGGAAAGGCGGGGGGGGGAAGAAGGCCUUCGGGUUGUAAACCGCUUUAGCAUGUGACGAAGCGUGAGUGACGGUAAUGGGUAAAGAAGCACCGGCUAACUACGUG